GAUGAACGCUGGCGGCGUGCCUAAUACAUGCAAGUCGAACGCUGGAGAUCUAGCUUGCUAGAUCGAAGGAGUGGCGAACGGGUGAGUAAUACAUAAGCAACCUACCCACGAAGACUGGGAUAAUCUCUGGAAACGGGGACUAAUACCGGAUAGGUAAUCGGAAGGCAUCUUCUGGUUAUUAAAGGUUAAAAACACUGGUGGAUGGGCUUAUGGCGCAUUAGUUAGUUGGUGAGGUAACGGCCCACCAAGACGAUGAUGCGUAGCCGGCCUGAGAGGGCGAACGGCCACAUUGGGACUGAGACACGGCCCAGACUCCUACGGGAGGCAGCAGUAGGGAAUUUUCGGCAAUGGGGGCAACCCUGAUCGAGCAACGCCGCGUGAGUGAAGACGGCCUUCGGGUUGUAAAGCUCUGUUGUAAGGGAAGAACGGUAGAUAGAGAAUAUCUAAGUGACGGUACCUUACCAGAAAGCCACGGCUAACUACGUG
rnacentral:rRNA from 1 species